rnacentral:rRNA from 1 species
UACGUAGGGUGCGAGCGUUAAUCGGAAUUACUGGGCGUAAAGCGUGCGCAGGCGGUGAUGUAAGACCGAUGUGAAAUCCCCCGGGCUUAACCUGGGAACUGCAUUGGUGACUGCAUCGCUCGAGUAUGGCAGAGGGGGGUAGAAUUCCACGUGUAGCAGUGAAAUGCGUAGAGAUGUGGAGGAAUACCGAUGGCGAAGGCAGCCCCCUGGGUCAAUACUGACGCUCAUGCACGAAAGCGUGGGGAGCAAACAGG